ACGUCUGGUUCGGUGUCUGGUUCCCGUUGUUGUGUCUGGCCAAUUCCUUGGAAAGAAGGAGGCUCACAGCGCCGGGGACAGGGACUUUGGUGAGACAAGAGCAAGCUUAUGUGAUGCCAGCAGAUGCAGUCUAAAGAUCAUGGAUGGGGAAGGAGACUGUCCCCAAUUCUGCCAUGUGAGUGUUGCUGGUGCUGAGGCUAGACCUGCUGGUAGUUGACUUCUUGGAGAAGCACCCCCAGGUGACUAAGUCUUGAUGGGAGAAGAAGACACUUCUCAAGAUGUGAGGCAGUUUUACAGAGAACCAGCCGCCGCCGCUCUGCUCCAGGGGUGAAAGGUCUCUAAGAACUCAUCUGGGAGAUUUGAAUUUCCAGUGGUGGUCACCCCACGCCUGCGCUACCUCCCACCUGAGCUGCCCCACACCUGGGUCACUCCACACCCAAGCCACUCUAUACCUGUGCUAGUCACCCCACACCUGCACUACCUCCCACCUGAGCUGCCCCACACCUGAGCCCACAUCUGGAUUUGGGGGUUUUCCAAGUCAUAUAAAAUGGUUUAUCUGCCCUGCUGACACCUCCUAGGGAAGGAAUCACCUUGUUAACAGCACAUGAGGGGACCUCACACAUUCCUUACCUGCGAGUGGCAAUCAGGGGACUCCUUGCUGGAGUCAGUUCUCUCUUCCUAAGAUAUAGGAACUCCACCAUGAGAGUUCCAGGGACCUCAGGCUUAGCAGAAAAUGCCUUUGCCUGCCGAACCAUCUUCAACAGGUUCUAAAAGACAAGUGUUGAAAAGGAAAACUUAUUAGUGAUCAAAUUAGCUGAAAUUAAAACGUGAUAUGCAUUGUUUUCUUAAAAACAAACAAACAAACAAAAAAAUGAAGUCUUUAUCCACAAAA
rnacentral:lncRNA from 1 species